UACGUAGGGGCGCGAGCGUUGUCCGGAAUUAUUGGGCGUAAAGAGCUCGUAGGCGUUGUCGCGUCUGCUGUGAAAACUCGGGCUUAACUCCGGGCCUGCAGUGGGUACGGGCAGACGUAGAGUGCGGUAGGGGAGACUGGAAUUCCUGGUGUAGCGGUGAAAUGCGCAGAUAAUCAGGAGGAACACCGGUGGCGAAGGCGG
rnacentral:rRNA from 1 species